rnacentral:lncRNA from 10 species
CAAGUAACCAAUGGAAAUUUCAGAGGAAAUUUAAACCCCAGAAAAUUCUGUAACUGGGCUCUUGAGCCACUUGCUGGGGCCUGCUGCCGCCCUGUGGAGUGUGCUUUCGUUUUCAAUAAAUCUCUGCUUUCGUUCCUUCAUGCUUUCCUUGCUUUGUGUGUUCAUUUUGUCCAAAUCUUUGUUCAAGACGCCAAGAACCUGGACACCCUCCACCGGUAACAUAUUUUGGCGAGCCAGACAAGAGGACCCUUGGUGGGCAGUGCCUAAACAGAGACAACUACAGGUUUCUGGCUGUGGCCACUCUCUGGUGAAACUAAGGGGUUUCUGUGUGGAGGUGCCUAACAGCCACCGUCCAGUUUGGGUAAAGAAAGCUUUUUAUGGUUCACUAAGGACAAUCAACCCCUUCGCAAUCUAGAACCAAAAGACUGGAUCUUCUGAGAACAUCUACUUAGUAUGAUGCCUCUGGCUUCCCUCUAUCACACGUCUUCUUUUCGAGUAAAGGUUUUUCAUAAAUGUGAGCGUGGAAGAAGAAACCAGUUAAAUAUGGAACUUCACACCAGGACACAAAAGGACUUCAAACUUUUAGAUUCCACAAGUAUGUGAAAAGAUGCAGUAUUUGUCUUUCUGUGCAUGGUUUACUUCACUUAUCAUCAUGUCCCUCAGGUUCAUCCACGUUGUUGCAAAUGACAGGAUUUCAUUCAUUUUUAAGACUGAAUAGUACUCCAUUAUGCAAAUAUACCAGAUUUUCAUUGUCUAUUCGUUCACUGAUGAACACGGGUUAAUCCUAUAUGUUGGCUAUUGUGAAUAAAGCUGCAAUGAAUAUGAGAGUACAGAUAUAUUCUUGACAUAUUAAUUUUAUUUUAUUUGGCAAUAUACCCAAUAGUAGCUAGAUCAUAUCAGAGUUCUAUUUUUAAUUUUUGAGGAAACUUCAUACUGUUUUUCAUAAUAGUUAUUACUAAUUUACACUCAGUAUACAAGAGUUCCCUUUUCUCCACAUUCUUUCCAAAAUUUGUUUCCUUUUCCCUUUUUGAUAACAGCUACUCUAACUGGGGUGAAAUAAUAUCUCACUGUGGUUUUAAUUUUCAUUUAUCUGAUUAAUGAUUUUGAGCUUUUUAAAAUAAAUACUUGUUGGCAAUUUGUAUGUCAUCUUUUGAGAAGUGUCUAUUAAAAUUUGUUUGCCUAUUU